CUAACUGAGCCCAGCAGGACAUGACCCCUCUCUCCUUCCUGCCUCUUCCCCACGGAGCCCAUCAGCCUGACACUGACUGACUGAGCCCAGCAGGACAUGACCCCUCUCUCUUUCCUGCCUCUUCCCCAGCACAUCAGCCUGAGCCCAGCAGGACAAAAAGCAGCUUACCCUGGGCACCAAUCAGAGGGGGGACUCCGGGACCUGCAGCCAGCAGAGGGAGUGAGGGACAACAAUAACUAUCCCCGGGCAUACACAGGACACCCAGCACUGACAGCAGCAGUAUCGCCGGCCACCUGAUGCUGCCCUGCAAACAGCUUCCUGAAGCUGGGAGCCCCGCUGGUAACAUCUAUUUCAGAAAUCCUUAGAGAAAUCCUUCACUGCUAAAGAUACCUUGAUACGUGGUUUAUACACCACAAAUGUCGCCACCUUCUACACCACCAUCCAAACCUCUGUCAGAAUCUUGCAUUAGCUGGACAGCAAGCAUGAAUCCAACAUACCAUGAAUAGACGCCAUGCCAACUAACUGGCCUGAAAACCGAGAGGAAAUCAAAGUCUUGAAGAUAAACUGUUUUGCUAUAUGAGAUAGUGGAACUACAGGAAGAGGAUGACCUCGAAGUGAUAGAAGACAUCAACAGAGCAACAUUUCUAGCACAUGCUUAUGGCAGUGCAGGAGCAUUUUUGUAGGAACCGGGCCAAAUUAGAGUGCCAGGGUUUGGGUUGAGAGCAUAUGAUCAUUUGCAUAUUCUAGGUAAAGUCAGCAAAGUGGAUAAUUUGCUUGUUUGCAGAUAUUACUUAAUACACAUGUAAAGCAGUUAGGAAGCAUCAACGCUCCCGGUUAUAGCAUCACUUUCUAGAUAGCAAGCUAAUAUCUCUUGAUUGAUAUUGGAGGCAUCAAUUUUGUCUGCUCUUUAAUCAUUUAUAUCUUGCUUAUCAAAUACAAGAUUAAAAAUGGAACCAGGCUCAUCCUUCUCUCUGCUGAUAUGUCAUGUUCCUUCGUUAAAAAAAACAAAAAAACAUAGACACUUGAUAAAUUGAUAAGCUCAGUGAACUGAUACAUUUCAAGCUUUCCUUCUUGAGUUAACCAUCGAACUUUACUCACAUAGUGGAACACAUCAAGUCAGAGGUGCCCCCAUGAUACCGAUCUGUUCUGCUAUCACCAGCGUCACAAACAGAUGACAAAUCUUUGAACACAGGAAAGCAACAAGGGCCUGAUCAGUAGCUUCAGUUAUCUUUGCUUCAUGUUUAUUACAGUCUGCUGCAGUUAUUAUAAAAAAAGGUCUGACAUUGAUCGACAGCUUCUAUUAACAUCUAUCCCAGGCAGCUGGAGGGAGCAGAUACAUUAAAUAAGGCAGUUAUUGCUUUUCAUUGCCUUUCUGUAAAAUAUCACUGCUAAAUAGCUUCUGCCAUCAGAUGCAGUUAGGUACAUGGUUUUAAUUUGAGCGACUGCUUUAUAACACUGCACAAUUGACACAGGCCUUUGUUUCCCCAACAAUAAUGGUUGUGUAUAUCUUGGAGAAUUGAUGGCCUGUCUGUUAUAUUGGUGGGCGGAAAGUGGCUGCUGCUUUGUCAUUCCGCUUUUUAUACAUGCCUUUCUUGUCAGUGCUCUGCAGUUCAGGCAGGAAUAAUGACAACCCAGCCACCUUAUCUCGAGAUGUUGCAAUGUGUAGCUGCUGUAAACCCUCGCCUGAAAACUAGAUAAGGGAAUGCUUACAAGUACAGCCACAGUAAUAAGAGGAGCCUGGUUGUAAUGAAGACAACAAUAGCAGAUCUGUCAAUCCUAUAGAACAAGCUCCAGGAAAAUAUAUGCACAUGGACUGGGGGAAUAACAAGCACGAAAAUAAAGGCUCCAAAUGUUCAUCUAAUAAUGAUACAUUUGCAACAGGAGAAUUAUGCCGGCCAAUGAUAUUGUUUCGUUUAUCUCUCCACUAAACGGUAGGGCAGCUGUGUGCUUUGGCACGGUGAGCUGUCCUUUCUCUUUGUAUGUUGCAUAUUAAUCCUUUAUUGAAGUAAUUAAAUGUGCGCUUAAUGGCAAUGAGCAGGGUGAAAUGAAUGUACAAUUGAAUUAACAGUGAUGAUUGGGAGCAUGCUGCAAGAUUAACUAAAUGCAAUUACUGUAGGCAUUCCUUAAUCUGGCUACAUGACACGACUUAAUUACAGGCUGUUAUACACUAACUCCCUGAUCUUGUACUCGUAUUAAUAUUUGAGUCAAAUGGUACAUUAAGUACAAGCUUUAUAUUAUCUUAUAUUAUCAACUGACUAAAGAAAAUACACAUUUCUAUAUUUUACCAUGCAUCAGCAAAUUCUGUGAAAUGAUAAGGAUAUGUAAAUGAUGGGGAUGUUUACAGGGCCUCAGGCACAAACCUGGUAACAAUUCUCACUUCACUGUCAUAUGGUGGGUGGCAUCAGCAAGGAAAAGGUUGAGUAAUGGAUGAAGUAAGUGAAAAGAUUUCCAAAUACAGAUGUACGUAAAAAUAAAUUGUUUUUUUAUUUGAAGCAAGUUAAAUUGAAGGAGCUAUAAUUUUUU